GAUGAACGCUGGCGGCGUGCCUAAUACAUGCAAGUCGAGCGAACAGACGAGGAGCUUGCUCCUCUGACGUUAGCGGCGGACGGGUGAGUAACACGUGGAUAACCUACCUAUAAGACUGGGAUAACUUCGGGAAACCGGAGCUAAUACCGGAUAAUAUAUUGAACCGCAUGGUUCAAUAGUGAAAGACGGUUUUGCUGUCACUUAUAGAUGGAUCCGCGCCGCAUUAGCUAGUUGGUAAGGUAACGGCUUACCAAGGCAACGAUGCGUAGCCGACCUGAGAGGGUGUUCGGCCACACUGGAACUGAGACACGGUCCACACUCCUACGGGAGGCAGCAGUAGGGAAUCUUCCGCAAUGGGCGAAAGCCUGACGGAGCAACGCCGCGUGAGUGAUGAAGGUCUUCGGAUCGUAAAACUCUGUUAUUAGGGAAGAACAAAUGUGUAAGUAACUAUGCACGUCUUGACGGUACCUAAUCAGAAAGCCACGGCUAACUACGUG
rnacentral:rRNA from 1 species